UGGGGAAUUUUGGACAAUGGGCGAAAGCCUGAUCCAGCAAUGCCGCGUGUGUGAAGAAGGCCUUCGGGUUGUAAAGCACUUUUGUCCGGAAAGAAAUCCUUGGCUCUAAUACAGUCGGGGGAUGACGGUACCGGAAGAAUAAGCACCGGCUAACUACGUGCCAGCAGCCGCGGUAAUACGUAGGGUGCAAGCGUUAAUCGGAAUUACUGGGCGUAAAGCGUGCGCAGGCGGUUUGCUAAGACCGAUGUGAAAUCCCCGGGCUCAACCUGGGAACUGCAUUGGUGACUGGCAGGCUAGAGUAUGGCAGAGGGGGGUAGAAUUCCACGUGUAGCAGUGAAGAUGCGUAGAGAUGUGGAGGAAUACCGAUGGCGAAGGCAGCCCCCUGGGCCAAUACUGACGCUCAUGCACGAAAGCGUGGGGAGCAAACAGGAUUAGAUACCCUGGUAGUCCACGCCCUAAACGAUGUCAACUAGUUGUUGGGGAUUCAUUUCCUUAGUAACGUAGCUAACGCGUGAAGUUGACCGCCUGGGGAGUACGGUCGCAAGAUUAAAACUCAAAGGAAUUGACGGGGUCAUAGCUGUUUCCU
rnacentral:rRNA from 1 species